UUUUUAUGGAGAGUUUGAUCCUGGCUCAGGAUGAACGCUGGCGGCGUGCCUAAUACAUGCAAGUCGAGCGAACAGACGAGGAGCUUGCUCCUCUGACGUUAGCGGCGGACGGGUGAGUAACACGUGGAUAACCUACCUAUAAGACUGGGAUAACUUCGGGAAACCGGAGCUAAUACCGGAUAAUAUAUUGAACCGCAUGGUUCAAUAGUGAAAGACGGUUUUGCUGUCACUUAUAGAUGGAUCCGCGCCGCAUUAGCUAGUUGGUAAGGUAACGGCUUACCAAGGCAACGAUGCGUAGCCGACCUGAGAGGGUGAUCGGCCACACUGGAACUGAGACACGGUCCAGACUC
rnacentral:rRNA from 1 species